rnacentral:rRNA from 1 species
UAAAGAUUCAUCGCUGAUAGAUAGGCAUGCGUUCCAUUAGGCAGUUGGCGGGGUAACGGCCCACCAGACCGACGAUGGAUAGGGGUUCUGAGAGGAAGGUCCCCCACAUUGGUACUGAGACACGGACCAAACUCCUACGGGAGGCAGCAGUGAGGAAUAUUGGUCAAUGGGCGUAAGCCUGAACCAGCCAAGUCGCGUGAGGGAUGAAGGUUCUAUGGAUCGUAAACCUCUUUUAUAAGGGAAUAAAGUGUGGGACGUGUCCUAUUUUGUAUGUACCUUAUGAAUAAGGAUCGGCUAACUCCGUGCCAGCAGCCGCGGUAAUACGGAGGAUCCGAGCGUUAUCCGGAUUUAUUGGGUUUAAAGGGUGCGUAGGCGGCCUUUUAAGUCAGCGGUGAAAGUCUGUGGCUCAACCAUAGAAUUGCCGUUGAAACUGGGGGGCUUGAGUAUGUUUGAGGCAGGCGGAAUGCGUGGUGUAGCGGUGAAAUGCUUAGAUAUCACGCAGAACCCCGAUUGCGAAGGCAGCCUGCCAAGCCAUGACUGACGCUGAUGCACGAAAGCGUGGGGAUCAAACAGGAUUAGAUACCCUGGUAGUCCACGCAGUAAACGAUGAUCACUAGCUGUUUGCGAUACAGUGUAA